AUUCCCGUAGUGGGUGUACUGACUUCACUAAGACUGCAUGUGGAAUUGUGGAUGUUUCCUAUUGUAGCAUGCUAGAUACUGCAGGUAGGUAAGGAAAAUUCUGGAGGCUGGCCGAUGAAGUCAGCUCUUCUUCUCUGCUAUCUUCCAACAAUAACUUCAAGCACCUGAAGAAUGUUAAGAGUUCCUAUGGCUCACAAAUAUAGCUGUACUUUAUAAAGUAAGUCUACUGCAGGAGAACAAGUCAGUUUUUAUAUCUUUCAAGCUUGCAAUGGGCAUCAAGAUAAUCCAAUUUGACCUUUGUUAUACUUGCCCUCCAUUCCUUACUUAUCUGAAUUUUUUCCUGAAUUAGUUUCUGCUUCAAAUCUGUGCAAUGAGGCUGAGUGAGGUUAUUAGAUAAAUGCCUGUGGCCUGAGAAGCCUGAGGGGUGGCUGUAAUGAGAAGAUUUCUCCCAGCUGGUCUAAAAUUUUCAAAUUACUCACCUGAGUGCUGAAAGGGAGCCAACAUGGUUUCUUUUGAGGUCUGUUGGCUCUGUGGAAGGUUGAGAAUAAGGAACAGUGCUAUCAAAUGUUGAGUUUCAGUUCUGUAGUGCUAACUCUAGAGGAGCUCCAAGGCACUUUGCUUCUCCUAAGUGUUAACUCUGGACUACUAAGAGGGAAUAAUAGCAAGAAGACUAAGCAAAGAUAAUCAGUAAUGGGAAAUCUCUUUGAUGCCACCUGUCAUUUCUGUUGUGACUGCCACGUUCAGAAGCAUUAUAUGAGAGUAGCUCCAACACACUUCUGGUGCUAAGAAUGAGCUCCUUUGAGAAGCUGAGGUGAUGGAAGAUUAGCAAGAUACUCUGUACUUGCACUGUAAAUAACUACUUUCUUCUACUUGAGGGACUGCACUAGUUUAAUUCAUGUAAAAAUAGGGAUAGAAUAGUUUAAUAAACAACAACAGUAUAAUAGUACAAUAAACAAUAGUAGUUUUACCACAAAUACUUUUAACCUUCUGUAAACGCACUGAAUCAGUGUCAUUAUGGUAGUUAUGGGGAGUUCAUUGUUAACGUUAUCUAAUUACAAAGAAUGAAGAAGUACACAUUUGAGCAGAGACCAAAGUACUCUGCAGUUUCUUUAAUAAAAGAGAAAGAAUGGUCUGUUUACAGGGGAAAAUCUUGGUGCCAUACCCAUUCCUGCAUCGAUUUACUCUGUGAUAUUCUCCAGUCCUUGAGGUGAGGAUUUUGGAACAUAGAUGAAGUGUUUAUGUCUGUGUUUUGCCUUUGAAUAAAAGUGGCUUGAUUUUCA